rnacentral:lncRNA from 1 species
CUCUCAAUUUCAUCAUUAAAAUUCAACCACAAAAUAUCCAAACAUUGCAUUUAUAAGACGAUGACUUUAACAUACCACCUUAUCUCUUAGAAAGAAAAGUGGAAGAGAGGUCUCAAGCCAUCUGAACCACAAAAACUUGUUGAUAGCUGGAUAUAUUGUGAAAAACGGAAUCAGUGCAUGUAGGUAAAGCACUGUACUCAUAUUCCCAAACAAAUCCUUACAAUCAUAUAUAAAAAUAAAAUAAAAUCAUAUACAAUAAUUGCAAAAUUUUAGAAGGGUCAGCUGACCACUCUAAUUAUUCAUUGAUUCAGUCGCCAGGGCCCCGUGGCACGGAACCAUGUAGAUUUGGAGGUCGAUUUCUAGGUACGGCUAUUUUUUUUGCCAGGUUAAUAUUCUUCAUCUUCUGAAAUUCUGUAUCAAUCUUCUCUUCUGCAAUGAUAAUACAAAACUUCAUUAAUACUAAUUAUGCUAAAGAUUUGAAUGAUGUAUGCAUACAUAUACACAUAUGGCCCUUCUAGAGAGAGAUUUCUAUAUUGGAUUAAAGUUCAAUAAUCUAAACUGUUUUCAGCCUCUCUUUAAAUAUCAUCCUGACAAAAAGAUAGUUGAAUUGGAAAUCAAUUUAUGUACAUCUAAAAAAAAAUAAGCGAAUACAACAUGGCGGAGAAGCAAAUCUGACCAGUGGCGGACCUAUUAAGGCACAAGGAGGUGCAGCUGCAGCUCCUCUCGUUGGAAAAAUUAUUGUAAGUGCUUCAAAUUGCCGCUUUGCUCAGUUGGUGGUGGUGUACAGAUUACCUUAUUGUUAUAUUACUCCAUUUACUUAAGUUUAUAAUGUAAAUAAGGAAAUACCCCCCAUUUGGAUUCAAAUAAAAAUACUAGAAAAUCAAAUUCCCACCAAUACGAAAAAUCGAUUUUAGUGCAAAAUACGAUUUAGGCUAAAAAUGAAGGCUCAUUAAGUCAAUAUAUACUUCAUAAUAAAAUCCCAUAAAAUCAAGUUUUCUUAUUUGAUGUGUAAGGAAUAAAAGCUGCCAAAAAUUAUCUUGAGAAAAUGAUUAUUUCGAAAAAUUAUUUUUCAUACUUAGUCAAUAUUUUUACAUAAAACAAUUUUUGAUGUGUGAUAUGAAUGCAUGAAGGGACCUAAAGUCAAUAUAGGUAAAAAGCCUUAUAUGUUCAAUCCACAAAUAGCUUUUAGCUUUUCAAAUUGCACCUCCGCUUAAAAAUUCCUAGGUCCGCCAGUGGUUGCCCAUGCCUCCACUGUGACGGUUGUGGUUGUUAAACUGUAGAGUUUUAUGUAGUUUGUCCUAUUGUAUUUUAUUUCAUCAAGUUUUCGAUAGUAUUUAACAUUAUUCAACGGCCAAAAAGAAAGAAUGAACAUUCUCAAGCGUCCAAGUUAUUGCUAACUGUUCUCUCAAUUUCAUCAUUAAAAUUCAACCACAAAAUAUCCAAACAUUGCAUUUAUAAGACGAUGACUUUAACAUAUCACCUUACCUCUUAGAAAGAAAAGUGGAAGCGAGGUCUCAAGCCAUCUCAACCACAAAAACUUGUUGAUUGCUGGAUAUAUUGUGGAAAACGGAAUCAGUGCAUGUAUGUAAAGAACUGUUCUCACAUUCCUAAACAAAUCCUUUCAAUCGUAUAUAAAAAUAAAAUAAAAUAAUAUAUAAUAAUUGCAAAAUUUUAGAAGGGUCAGCUCACCACUCUAAUUAUUCAUUGAUUCAGUCAUUAGGGCCCCGCGGCACAGAACCAUGUAAAUCUGGAGGUCGAUCUCUAGGUACGGCUUUUUUUUUUGCCAGGUUAAUAUUCUUCAUCUUAUGAAAUUCUGUAUCAAUCUUCUCUUUUGCAAUGAUAAUAUAAAACUUUAUUAAUACUAAUUAUGCUAAAGAUUUGAAUGAUGUAUGCAUACAUAUACACAUAUGGCCCUUCUAGAGAGAGAUUUCUAUAUUGGAUGAAAGUUCAAUUAUCUAAACUGUUUUCAGCCUCUAUUUAAAUAUCAUCCUGACAAAAAGUUAGUUGAAUUAUUGGAAAUCAAUUUAUACAUUAAAAAAAAAUAAGCGAAUACAACAUGGCGGAGAAGAAAAUCUACCCUUGCCUCCACUUUGGCGGUGGUGGUUGUUAAACUGUAAAGUUUUAUGUAGUUUGCCCUAUUGUAUUUUAUUUCAUCAAAUUUUCAAUAGUAUUUAACAUUAUUCAACGGCCAAAAAGAAAGAAUGAACAUUGUCAAGCGUCCAAGUUAUUGCUAACUCUUCUCUCGAUUUCAUCAUUAAAAUUCAACCACAAAAUGUCCAAACAUUGCAUUUAUAAGACAAUGACUUUAACAUACCACCUUACCUCUUAGAAAGAAAAGUGGAAGAGGGGUCUCAAGCCAUCUCAACCACAAAAACUUGUUGAUCGCUGGAUAUAUUGUGGAAAACGGAAUCAGCGCAUGUAGGUAAAGCAUUGAGGACCAAAAGGGUCACCCAAACAGUGCCCACGCGCCGGCAGCGUGUGGGUGCCCAGAGAAAUUCAUGCGAUCGGAAAAUCUCCAAACCGUCAGUCAAGACCUGUACCUACAUGAUAAGGACAACGAGUGGAGCAAUUUUUGUUCUUGUUCCAAGCCCAAAAAGUGGCCGGAGAUAGCCAGAUCAAAGCUGGAAACAUGCGAUUUUAACCAAAAUUUCACGGCCUCGAUACGGCGGCGACAUCCAUCUACGCCGUUGCACAACCUAGGAAACAGCAAGAGGGAAGAGAGGGCUACCUGUUCCAAUUGACGGCGCAGCUCGAGUUGGUCGGAAACGUCACCGAUGAAGGUGGCAGUUUCUGCCCUUUCUUCCCCUCGAAACCGCCGCCGAAUACCAGGUUUUUGGUCAGAGAUAAGAGCAAGUCCAGCGCUCUACCCAAAACUAGGCAAAAUGCUGCCCUCGCAAGCCCAACCCCCUCCAGCGCGCAAGAAUGAGCCUGGGCAAUCGGUGGGUCCCACCAACCCGGGCAGGCCUAAGGGCAAGUCUCGCCUGGGCUUCAGCCCGAGGGCAGUAACGUCAGUGCAAGGUAAUUCAAUUUUUUUUUUUAUCGUUGGCUCGUGAAUUACACGUGCGAACGGUAAAAAAAUUUGACUUCCGCGCGCUGACGUCGCCCCUGACAGACUCCAACGGGCAUUUGACAGGUGUCGCAACCGGGCCUCUUCGAUGGGUUUUUUUCCAGAAAUCCGACGGUCCUCGUUUUUUUGGCUAAAAAAAUUCCAAAAAAAAUCGAAAAAAAUUCUGAAAUUUUUUUUAAAAAAUACCAAAAAAUUAUGUAUUUUUUCCCUAUAAAUACCUAACCAUUUUAUUUACUUUCCACACCAAAUCUUCAUACAAUUUCUUCUCCCUCCAAUAUUUUUUACUCUCCACUCACAUUUUUCACUUCCCACACCAAUUCUCCAUACAAACUCUUCUCCUUCCAAUAUUUUUACUCUCCACUCACAUUUUUCUACUACUUUCCAUUUGUAUAAAUAAAAAAAAACAAAUGGCAUCUUCUGUCAAAACCGAAGGCUCGUGGUCAACUCAGGAAGAUAUUGCGUUGUGUCAGUCUUGGGUGAACGUUAGUCAUGACCUUAUCACGGGCAAUGAGAUGAAGUUCCAUCAUAUGUGAAGCAAAAUUCAUGGAGAAUUUUGUCAACGAUCGAGUUCCAUUCGGACCGAAAUGACCUUGUCUAGUAGAUGGAAACUUCUGAAUAAAGAGUUAGGGAAAUGGAGAAAUGCCUUGACAAAAGCAAGGGAGAACAUUCGAAGCGGUCAAAAUCUUACUGAUGAGGUAAAAUAUUUAUAAUUGUCAUUUUAAUCAAUUUAAUGUAACUUUUUUUUUAUUGCAUAUUCUAUUUCUUUUUCUUGCAUAAUCUUUUUUUUUUCUUUUUGCAUUUCCAAUUUGUCUAUAUUUUAUUGCAUAAUCAAUUUUAUUCUUGCAUUUCAAAAUAGUUUAUAUUUUCUUGCAUAAUAAUUUUUUUUUUCCUUGCACUUCCAAUUAUUUAUUUUUAAUAGAUCAUCCAAGCAAAAAUGUGUUUCGGUGCCAUGGGGCAAGGCAAAAAAAGUUUCGUGCAUUUUCAAUGUUGGGAAGUUGUGAAGGAUUGUUCGAGACUCAAAAUUAUUCCCCCCGGUCCGCUGGUUGUGUUGAAUGAGACGCCGCUCCACGAUUCGCCAUCAACCGAUUCGCCAUUGGACUCCCCAAUGGAAACGGAGUCACCACUCCCACAUCCGCCGACACCUAUUGGGAGAAAGGCGGCAAAGACCAAGAGAGGGGGCACUUCGAACAAUGAAUGUGUACAAUUAUUGGAGCAAAUAGCUAAGAAUACCUCACUAAGAAUUGAGAGAGACUUGAAAAGAGAUGAAGCGGACAUGGCACAAGAGGAAGCAUUUGUAAUUCAACAACAGCAUGCACAAGAAAAAGACAUGGAUGAUAGAGAGAUGAAAAUCAUGGCCAUGGAUACGAGCCAUAUGUCUCUUGAAACAAAGGCCUAUUGGAAGCAUAGACGAAGGGAUGUGAUGAGAAGAAAACUUUUCCAUGACGACGGACCUAGCAAUACGGAUUGGUUAAAUGAUGAAAACCAUUAGGUUAUAUUGAAACACCUUUGUUAUAUGUUGUAUUGUUGUAUUGUUGUAUUGUUUCCUUUUCAUUAAAUAAAAAAAGCAUUAAAUAAUAUGAUUAUUUAUUAAAAACAUUUGAGCAUCAAAACAAAGAUUAAUUAAAAACAAACCUUAAUUUAUUGCAAACAACACACAAAACAAACCAUACAUAAAAGCAUAAUAAUAAAACAAAAGCAUAAUUCCAAAAAACAUCACACACAAAAUAAAGCAUAAUUAAAAACAAAGCAUACUUCCAAACAAAGCACUAAUCUUGACUUCAUCCAUUGUGAUUGCCUUUCAUCUCCCACAAGUGCUCAAUCAAGUCAACUUGACGUCUCUCGUGAACAUAUGAAGAUUGCAUUUCUUGAUAACGAUCAAUCAUGGGGUUGUUGAAUCGACCAUCUCGAACUAACGGUUCGGGCUCCAUUGGUAGUCCAUUUGGUCCCAUCGGCCUUUCAUAUAUUCUUGUCAACGCCGUGUUCAUGGGAUCGGGUUCAAACACCUCUAGAGCAUCGUAGUCAUACUCAUCCUCCACAAUCAUGUUGUGAAGUAUGAUGCAAGUCAUCAUAAUACUCCGCAACACCUCCUCAUCUAGCAUCCGAGCAGCACCCCUAAUAAUUGCCCAAUGAGCUUGCAAGAUACCGAAACACCUUUCCACGUCUUUCCUGUAACCUUCUUGAAAGGAAGCAAAGCUUCUUUCCUUCUCGGAUUGGGGAUUCGGAAUUGUUUUCACGAAUGUCGUCCACCUAGGAUAAAUUCCGUCGGCAAGGUAGUACGCACUAGAGUAUACGGUAUCGUUGAUUUGGUACUUGAUCUGGGGGGAAUGACCUCGCAAUACCUCGUCGAACACCGGGGAUUGACCAAGGACAUUGAGGUCAUUCUGAGAUCUGGCAACCCCAAAGAAGGCAUGCCAAACCCAACAGUCGAAUGAAGCUACGGCCUCCAAAAUUAUACUUUUUUGGCCCUUCCGAUUCCCGUACUCUCAUUGCCAAGCAGUAGGACAAUUCUUCCACUGCCAAUGCAUGCAAUCAAUGCUUCCAAUCAUGCCUGGAAAACCUCGAGUCUCUGCUUUUUGUAGCAGCCUUUGCAGAUCCCUCGGCGUGGGUCUGCGAAGGUGCUCCCUCAUGUACAAAUUUUCCACUGCAUCACAGAAUCUCACCAAGCACUCUAGGAUAGUUGAUUUUCCCAUCCUUGCAAUCUCAUCCACCUGCUCUGCAGAUGCCCCAUAAGCAAGCAUCCGCAAAGCAGCUGUAAGUUUUUGCUCCGGGAUAAGACCCAAAACUCCAACAGCGUCAUGCUUUUAAAUGAAGUAUGUGUCGUAAUUACAAAUAUCAUGCAUGAUUUUUUGAAACAAAUGUGGAUGCAUUCUAUAUCUCUCUCGAAACUUAUGACCAGGAUAUAACGAAUUUGGGAUAAAGUAAUCCUCCAAGAGAUUCUUACCCCGAGACUCCCUACGUCUGUCCACAUUUGGGGCACGAGGACGACGGUGUUGCCUUGAUUGAUUAAGCAUACACACCACUGCUGCAAGCAUUUGUUCCUCUUCUUCAUCGGUGUCCAUAUCUUCUUCAGCACGUCUAUGCCGGAUUUCUUACCUUUCUUUCUGUUGCCUCUCCAACACCCUCCUCAAGUUUGACAUUGAGAGUAGAAUGUGUUUUGUAAAAUCUGGUAAAUGAAGGAAUAGAUAAGAGAUGGUGUGAGAGGUAUGAGUUGAUGGUGUAGUUUUAUAGAGGGAUUCAGAAGAUAGAGAUGACACGUGGCACAAUUUUAGAGGGUGAAAAUCUUAUCUGAAAUCUGAGAUUAUAAUUUUAAAAAAAAUAUUUGAAAAUCUUAUCUGACAGAGAUGACAUGUGGCACAAUUUUAGAGGGUGAAAAUCUUAUUUGAAAUAUGAGAUUAUAAUUUUUUUUUUAAAUAUCUGAAAAUCUUAUCUGACAUGGGACACGUGGCACAAUUUUAGAGGGUGAAAAUGUUAUCUGAAAUCUGAGAUUAUAAUUUUUUUUAAUGAAUAUCUGAAAAUUUUAUCUAGAAUAAGACACGUGGCAACCGAGAUUCUCAUCCGAAAAUCUUUUCAGAAAAAUAAGGGACACGUGACAACCAAAAAUCUUAUUCGAAAAUUUAAUUACAAAAGAUUAUCAAAAUUAAUGAUUUAAAGUAUAAAAAAAAUAGGAAAUAAAGUACAAUGAAUAAUAUUUGCCUUAGACUUGUCCUAGACUUAGCCCUCAUGGGUGGAACCACAAAUGGCAAGGCUGCCACUAUUCAUGUGAAUAGUGGCAGCCCUUGCUUGCCCUUGCCCUAGACUUAGCCCUUAUGGGUGGAGUUGCUCUAAGGGGUGGGCUGGGUAGAGGAGAGAGAGAGAGGAAGAGUUUGCAAGUAGUGGCUUCGGAAUUAGUGGCCAGACGGCGGCGUUCUAGCCGUCUAAAAAUCGGCUAAAAAAAUGGGGGGAAGGGCUCUCGCCGCACGGGAGGAGAGAGAGAGAGAGAGAAAAUUCUGACUUUAAAACUGAACUUCAAAAUAUUUACGGUUAUGCCACUGGGCUUCCAUAGAUCGUAACUUCUUUAUUAAAACUCCGAUUUGAGCCCACUACGUGUCUACGGACUCAUCUCGAUGUGCUCUACGCAACGGUACUACUAAAAUCCCCAAUUUCUUUCAUGAACAAAAAGUCAAUUUUUAAACCCAUUAAAAUAUUCUCGAGAUAAAAUUUUAUUUUUCUUGAAUAAUUUAAUAAUUAAAUAUUAAUUUAGGAUCAUGUUAUUACAUAAAUAAUGGCAUUAGAUGUCAAAUUACUGCAUUUUGAUUUUUGAGGAAAAAAAAAAGUUAAGUGGGCCAUUCCCUGGUCACGCAGUAUCGUUUGUAGGAGUUCGUCUGUGGUGCAUCGGCUGUACCGGUACGCCGAUCACAUGCUAGUCACGUGGGCUUUUUUUUUAAAACAAUUGAAACUGGUUGUUUUGGUUAACCAGUUAAAAUGAGGAAAAAAAAUCAUGCUCCUUCAAAACCUAGGAUGCGUACUCGAUUUCGUCUAUCUCCUCCUCCAUCGCUUUGCACAGCCACAGCUCUAUUUCGUUGAAGUCACAGCUGCACAGCUUUCUAUAGCCUGAAGAAGCUCCCCCCACUUCGUCUUCUCCAUCUGAGGAGCAGAUUUCAGCCAAAACCCAGAAACCCACUUCGUCUUCUCCAUCUGAGGAGCAGAUUUCAGCCAAAACCCAGAAACCCACUUCGUCUUCUCCAGCUGCUUCCUCCAUCUCGGUAAGUUCGUGUGUUGAUUUUCGUUAUGUGUAAUUGAUGGUUCUAUUUAAUUUAUUCUUCUUUUGUGUGAAUUUUGACCGGUGUGGCUGUAAAUGAAAUUUUGGGUUUUGCCAUUUAUUUGUUCCUUUUAAAAUUUAAUAUGUGAUUUACAAUUUGGCUGUAAAUGAGAAUUUGGUAGAUUAUUGUGCAGUUGAUUAAAGAAUUUAGAAAAUUAAAGUUAUGUACUUAACGAACUGCUCUAUUUUUGCUUUUCAGUAACUUGCUGCUCUAGGUAAACAUCGAUUUGUCUUCCCUUUUUGUGCCAAAAGAUAGACAACUCCAAUUUUAUCGCAUAUAUUUUUAUGUUCUGUAAUGAUUGUUAGUAAGUAAUCUCUAUUAAGUCAGCCAACCAGCUUUCAUUUUCUCUUUUUUGGUAAUUAAAUCAAGGAUUUUGUUAUCAUGUUUAUAUGAUGUGAGUGAGGUGAUUUUUGGUGCUGUAAAUUGCUAAUCACUAGUGAUUUUGAAUUGUUGUUUCAGUUUUUUCACUGAACAAUUCCAGAAAUUAAUUAUUCAAAUUUUGUAUUUCUUUUCCCACUCUGCAUUUCUGCUGGGUUGUUAUAGUGCCUCUUGAUCUGAUUGUAUAUAUAAAUACCCAUGAGGCCUCUGAUUGUGUAUGAUUUAAUUGUGGUGGGAACUUCACUUCACAUAGGACUUGGCAAGCAAGUCGAUGUUUCAGUAAUUUGUUGGUUUUCUGAAGCCUGUAUUGCAAGCAUUAGUGCCUGGUAUGAAGCACUCGUUUCAGUCUCUUAAGAUAUGCCAUGUAGAAACCCGGAGAUCAUUUAUGUACCCUUUAUGUUGGUAUGUGUUUGCUUGAAUUCCAAAUACUUGGAGGGUGUUGAUAUGUUUAAACUCAACUUUAAGAACUUGAAAGGGAAGAUGGGGGUCUGUUGUGUGAACAAAAAUUUAUUAGGUAGUCAAAAUAUAAAGCUUCUGUUGGUCAGAUUUUUGGUGUAUUUGAUUAGAGUCCUUCUGUACAGCCGAGCACGUGAAUUUUUUUAAAAUACAAGGGAAACCAGCUGACCUGGUCAACAAGUAAACGAUUUCACGAGCUGCUGCUAAGGUGAACAGGUAAACGAUUUCACAUGCACACUCAGUUGACAUUCUUCUUCCGCAAAGUGGUAUGCUUCAACUUCAAACUGAUAAUCUUCAUCAUCUUCAAAGUCAUUUUCUUCAACUCCUCUUCUGUAGAAAGUUUCUUCCUCCUUUCUGCAACCUCUCUCUCUCUUCUUUGACAUCAUUGUCAAAAACCACCUAUUCUAGGGUUUGAAUUUUGGGGAAAAUUUUAGGGGUUAGCAUUUUGGGUUGAUAAUAGGAAUUGGAAUUCAGUUUUUCCAGUCACUGGUGGGUUAUUGGCACUCCUCUCGUCUGCAAUCGAGCCCUUGUGAAAGCAUUUGGUAUUAGUUCCUUGUGAAGGUAAGUUAACAUUGUUUUAUGGUAUUGUUAAUUGAAAUUCUGUGGUGAUGACUUGGGGCAAGAGGGGAAGUAGGCUUCUCACAUUCAUGAGAUGAAGUGGGUUUGUCAUUUUGAAAGUGUCGUGAGGUGAAGUGGGUAUCUCACAUUCAUGGUUGUAAUGUUCAUGCAAUUGCAUAUCUCUAUAUGCAAUUACUAAUAGCCUGUAUGCAAAUCCAAGUCAUUGAAUGCAAUUAGAGUAUAUAGUUUUGUUUUCAAAUUAUGCAAGUGAGGUGAUUUCGUGGUAGGUAGGUAGGUUUGACUGUGUUUUUGAAUAAUUUGUUAUAGGGAGUAAAGUGUUCCGAAAGUGUAAUGUUAGGCUUCGUUAAGAUUUGGAUUGGGAUUUGAAAUGAGUAAGAAUCUCGGCCCAAUAGAGAAAUGCAUGUGUGGGUUGUGUGCAUUAUCUAUGCAAUGUUAUAAUCGAGGGCUGAUGCACUUGCAAGUAGUAUCGAGCAAUUGCAUAUCAGUAUAUGCAAUUACUAAGCAACUGUAUGCAAAUCCAGGUCGCCGUAUUUUUUUAAUUAAGCAAUGUGAUGUUGUGGUGUUUACGGGGUUUAGGGGGUAUUAGGCUUUGGAUUAGUAUUCAAAUUCUCGGCGCUAGAGACAAUUGCAUGAUAGUGUUUUGUACUUGAUUUGUGCAAGUUAUGGAAGCUCAAAAAAGGGGAUCAACAAAAGGAAAGCGCAAAGUCGACAGUAAUGUGCAACAAUCAAGAGUUGGCCGAGAUGCAUUUUUUAAUUUCAUGUAAGUUACACGUACAUCUAAAAAUCGGAAAUGUAGUUGCUUAAUAUUAUGAUGGUUUUUUGAUUAAAAAUAAAUGAUUUACAAAAAAAAAAAAAAAGAAAAAAAAAGACAUAAAAUGGGGAAAGUGGCAAAUGCAAAGUUGGACAAUAAGGUGAGAGAUGGCAAUGGAUUGGGUUAGUUUAUUAAUUAUUUUAUUAAAAAGGCUCUGUUAAUGAGAUUUUUUUUUCCAGGUACAAGAAGAGAUUGCUAAUAAAUGGAGGAAAUUAAACCUUAAAGAGAAGGCUACAUAUGGUUCUGCCUUGGAAGGUUCGAGUGGGCAAGUAAACGACUCAGUGAAUGAGAAGGGUUUUAUCACUAGAUGCAGCCCGGACCGAUUCCAAAAAACACGCGUCUAAAGGAAGUAAGGGAGUUUGUUCGAAGAGUCGUCGACGAACAACUUGGCAAGUUGGCCGAACAUGGUCCCUUCAUCCCUCAUCAUCCCAUCGCAAGGAAGCCAAUAACACACUCCCAAGCAAAGUAGAAAGUUUGACAGUAAGUCAUAAGGGUUUACAGUUUACAAAUUAGGUGUAAUUGCAUGUAUAUAUCCCUAUUUGCGCACAGUCAGGGUUCUUUUGUAAUAUAGCAAGUGCAAUUGCAUGACACGACCGUCGCACGUCAUGUAAUUCCAUUAUUCGCUUACAAAUGGUUUUUUGGUUUUCUUCACGACAUUGAAACAUUUCACGACCAGAUUGAACCGCCUAGUUUCAUUUGUUUGCUAUGGUACAUGUCUUGUUUCAAUAUUCAUCCACUAUAAUUCUAUUUUAUUUCUAUUACUUUGUAUUUAGAUAUAAUUUAGAUAUAAUAAAUAUAAGAAUAUAUUGAUUUUAUACGAACAUGACUCUCUCGUUUUCGAUGCACUUCAGAUUUUUUCUAAAGAACUAAAGAAAACAAAUUACAAAUAUAAAAAUCUAAUUUUUUUUGUUUAGAAUUUAUAAUUAUAUAGAAUUUUCUUCUAUAUACUAUAUAAUAUAAUACUAUAUAACAUAUAAUAAUAUACUAUAUACCGGUACAGCCACUCACAUGGGGGUGUUUUUAAAACAAGGGAAAACGGUUGUGUUGGUUAACAGGUUAAAAGCAAGGGGAAAAAUUGACGCGCCUCCUUCACGACACUCCUUCCCCUUCUUCCUAAUACCUCACCUAUCUUCUCUCUAGUUCAUUUUCUUUCUGUUUGGCUCAAUUCUAACAUAAUAUCAUGACUGAUUUCUCUUAUUCACAUGCUUGAAUCUUGAGAACCCUCUUCUUAGAAAUCCCAAAUUUAUUUGAUUUCUUCUAUUUCCCCAAAUCUGAUUCACCUUUGAUUCAUUAAACUUCAACUAUUAUUUAUUAUGGCUUGUACUAAAUCUCCAAUUGCUGCCCUUUUACUAAAUCCAAAUGGAGCAGAUGCACACGAAGUUGCAGUCAUGAGCUGAUGAAAACUUCCUUCUCUUGCGAAAUAUGUGAAAAAUGGAGAAGCUGGGAUGGGUUUGAUUGAUUUUUGGGUUUAAUUGAUUUUUCAUGUUCGGGUUUGAUGGAGCUGUGUUGGAUUCUUGAUGUCUUGGUUUGAUUGAUUUUUGAUACUUGUGUUUCUUUUAGACGGGAAGAGAGAGAGAGAGAGAGAGAGAGAGAGAGAGAGGGAGCUGAGGGAAUAGGGGAGGGGGAGAGGUGUCGGGAAGGGAAGGAUGGGAUGGGUUAGCUAUUUUUACGUUUUUGCAUCAUGGUACGUGCAAUUGCAUGGUCUUUUUACAAUUAUCCAAUUAUUAUGAGUAAUUACAUGUAAGUUCAUAGUAUGUCUUGAAAUUUUAUAUGCAAUUAUUUACAAUGGAUGUGCAAUUGCACAACAAUUCUAAGACAUGCAUUAACAACUGAAACAUCAAUAAAGGCGUAGUCUCUUUGAAAUUCCUUCCACUAUUUGGAAAUUGCAUGGUUGUCAAUACAAAUGCUAACGACACAAAUUACGUUCAAUUACACAUUACUCAUAUCGCAAUUGAAUUUAUAACUUACAUCCUAAAGUCGAAUAAGUAUAAGAAAUCGCUAUUACACUUCGUAACUGAGACCCUAAAGCCUAAUAAGCCUAAUUUAAAUUAAUAAAAAAAAACCCCUUAAAUAUCAACAUACCAUCCAUAAGUAUCACUAAUAAUCCUAUCGCUCAAAAUAAGUGACCGAUUAAUUGGUUCCCAUUUUUCUUGGCAAAAAAAACUGGUUCUCUUUUUUAAUUGUUACAUAUACUAUGUACUCAUUAAAAUAUUAUAUUUGACUAAAAGAAAUUAAAAUAUUAUAUAAUAAUGUAUAGAUACCCAUAGAAAAGAAUAAUUAGACUAUCUAUAUUAUAUUUAGACAAAAAAAAAAUGGAUAUAACUAAUGUAAGGUUUAACAUUGCAAUUGAGAGUCAUACUGUAAAUCUAAACUAUUUACUCGAGACCUGAAUCCAAUUUCUUCACCUCACAGAGAUAAGGCCAAGGAUUACAAUAUCAACCAUGUAAAUAAUAUAGGGCCUCCAAUUUACGGUUAUUUCGGGGGAUAUAUUAUUAUCGUCUUAGGUAUCGGAAAAAAAAAGAAGAAGACAGAUAUAGGUAUUGAAACACAUAAUUUUGGUAUAAAACUUUCAUAAAUGUUAUGUACAUUAUCAAUGAAUGUAUUGAACAAAUAAAACUCAAAAUUUACUAAUAAUAAGAUAUACAUAUGAUGAAAUAUAAGUGGUAUGUAAUGCGUGUUAAUGAAAAGUUUGAAAAUAAAAUGUUGAUUGGAAUGAAUAAACCAUGCAUAAAUCCAUAGUUUGUUUUAACAUUGGAUUACAAUUUAGAUAAGUGUCCAUCUACAUAAAUGAAGAGCUCCAAUGAGGUUCAAACAAUGAGGAACAACCAUCUAGAUUCAUACAAUAGUCAUACCAAGUUACAUAACCCGAGCAGUUUGUAAGCCAUGUUUGAACAUGGUGCACAUAGGUCUCUCUUGAGCUCUCUACUAUCUUCCCAUAUAUGAGAUAGUUAAGAUUAACCCAACUAGUAGAAAAGGGCGGCCCUGAAAUAGUGCAAGUGGCGCCAAUACACAGGGCCCCUGAUUUUUGAGGACCCCCUAAAUUUUUUUAUUUUACAUAAUUUAUAUUAAUAUUAUAACAACUGUAUAUAUACUCCAACGUGCAACAAAUUGACACAAAAAUUUAUUUAGUGGAGUUGGUUUCUAGUGCAUAUCCCUUGGUACAAGGCUUACAUGAAAAAUUUUAAGAACCACAUUUUAAAUAGUUUUAAAAAAGAAGCACCUGAAAAAUAUCAGGGGAAAGAUCCAAUUAAAUUAACAAUACUAAUAUCACACCCAUACGCUUUUUCUUUAAAAAAUAAUAAUAAUAAUUUCUUCGACUCAAAACAAAACAAAACAACAUAAAAAAUAAAAAAUCAUGUCUUCUUCUUUCUCAUGAACUCUUAUUUUUUUUCUUACCGAACACACCAACAUUUAACUUUAUCAAAUGAACACAACGUACUCAACAAACGCAACCCUUGCGUUCGCGUGAAAAACAGUGUGUUUGUUUGAAAAAGAAGGUUAGUGGGGUCCAUUUUCCUGAGGAACGGGCAACUUUACUCUACGAACGCACUCCUUGCAUUCGCAUGAAUAAAUAUCCCGUUUGUUUGAAAAAGUAAGUUUCUUUGGCCCAUUUUUCCGGGGAACAGGCAACUUUACUCAACGAACGCAACCCCAGCGUUCGCGUGAACAAAUAGCCCGUUUGUUUGAAAAAUUAAGUUAGUUGGACCCAUUUUUCCGGGGAAUGGGCAACUUUACUCAACAAACGCAACCUCUAUAGCCCGUUUGUUUGAAAAAUUAAGUUAGUUUGGCCUAUUUUUUCGGGGAACGGGCAACUUUACUUAACAAACGCAACCCCUGCGUUCGCGUGAACAAAUAGUCCGUUUGUUUGAAAAAGUAAGUUAGUUGGGCCCAUUUUUUUAGGAAACGGACAACUUUACUCCACGAACGCAACCCAUUGCGUUCGCGUGAACAAAAAGCCUGUUUUUUUGAAAAAGUAAGUUAUUGGGCCAAUUUUUCCGAAGAACGAGCAACUUUACUCAAUGAACGCAAUCCCUGCGUUUACAUGAACAAAUAGCCUGUUUGUUUAAAAAAGUAAAUUAGUUUGGCCAUUUUUUCAGGGAACGGGGAACUUUACUCAACGAACGCAACCCCUGCAUUCGCGUGAACAAAUAGCUUGUUUUCUUGAAAAAGUAGGUUAGUUGGGCCCAUUUUUCCGGAGAACGGACAACUUUACUCAAUGAAUGCAACCCAUUGCGUUCGCGUGAACAAAUAGCCCGUUUGUUUGAAAAAGUAAGUUAGUUGGGCUCAUUUUUCCGGGGAACGAGCAACUUUACUCAACGAACGUAACCUCUGCGUUUAUGUGAACAAAUAGCCCGUUUGUUUGAAAAAGUAAGUUAGUUUGGCCCAUUUUUUCAAGGAACAGGCAACUUUACUCAACGAACGCAACUCCUGUGUUCGCAUGAACAAAUAGCCCGUUUGUUUGAAAAAGUAAGUUAGUUGGGCCCAUUUUUCUAGGGAAUGGACAACUUUACUCAACGAAUGCAACCCCUGCGUUCGCAUGAACAAAUAGCCCGUUUGUUUGAAAAAGUAAGUUAGUUUGGCCCAUUUUUUCGAGGAACGGGCAACUUUACUCAACGAACGCAACCCUUGCGUUUACGUGAACAAAUAGCCCGUUUGUUUGAAAAAGUAAGUUAGUUGUGCCCAUUUUUUGUGGAACAUGCAAGUUUAUUCAACAAACGCAACCCAUGCGUUUACGUGAACAAAUAAUGCGUUUGUUUGAAAAAGUAAGUUAGUUUGGCCAAUUUUUCCGGGGAACGGACAACUUUACUCAACGAACGCAAACCCAACGUUCGCGUGAACAAAUAGCCCGUUUGUUUGAAAAAGUAAGUUAGUUGUGCCCAUUUUUCGUGGAACAUGCAAGUUUAUUCAACAAACGCAACCCUUGCGUUUACGUGAACAAAUAGCCCGUUUGUUUGAAAGUUUGGCCCAUUUUUCCGGGGAAUGGCCAACUUUACUCAACGAACGCAACCUCUGCGUUCGUGUGAACAAAUAGCUCGUUUGUUUGAAAAAGUAAGUUAGUUGGGCCCAUUUUUCCGGGAACGGACAACUUUACUCAACGAACGCAAUCUCUUGCGUUCGUGUGAACAAAUAGCCCGUUUGUUUGAGAAAGUAAGUUAGUUGGGGCCAUUUUUCCGCAGAAUGGGCAACUUUACUCAACGAACGCAACCCUUGUAUUUGCGUGAACAAAUAGCCCAUUUGUUUGAAAAAGUAAGUUAGUUAUGGCUAUUUUUCCGGACAAUGUGUAUUACAACGUAAUUUCGAUAAUUGGUCAUUUUGUAAUAUAAUAUGUUCGCCUUAUUGCCCAUUACCAUUUCUCAUGCUCCGUAUUUCGGUUAAUUUCGACCUUCGAUUUAUAGUUCAAAAAACAGGUGUAAUUAUGCCUGUACAAAAGAGUAUGAUUCAAUUUUCUGAACAAUUAAGGGUUUGCGCACAGAAGGACUUGCAUUGCAGCAUUGUCAUGCAAUUGCAUGUGCUAAAGGCAAAUACCGACCCCCUGUGUGCAAACUGAACAAAGCUUAACAACGCUAUGCUGAUUAAUGUAUAGCGCAAUGACAAACAAAACCAAGCACAGACUUUAUUAUGACCCUAUGUCUAUUAUUCAAUAUUAGGGUUAAUGACAUUGUGUUGUACACAAUUCGGGAUCUACCCUCAAGUUAUUUGUGGUACAUAAUGUGUAGUACAACGUAAUUUCGAUAAUUGGUCGUUUUGUAAUAUAAUAUGUUCGCCUUAUUGCCUAUUACCGUUUCUCAUGCUCCGUAUUUUGGUUAAUUUCGACCUUCGAUUUAUAGUUCAAAAAACAUGUGUAAUUAUGCCUGUACAAAAGAGUCUGAUUCAUUUUUCCGAACAAUUAGGGGUUUGCGCACAGAAGGACUUGCAUUGCAGCAUCGUCAUGCAAUUGCAUGUGUUAAAUGCAAAUACGGACCCCCUGUGUGCAAAGUGAACAAAUCUUAACAACGCUAUGCGGAUUAAUGUAUAGCGCAAAGACAAACAAAACCAAGCAAACACUUAGUUGCCCCUAUGUCUCUUAUUCAAUAUUAGGGUUAAUGACAUUGUCUUUUACACAAUUCGGGAUCUACCCUCAAGUCAUUUGUGCUACAUGACAAUGUGUAGUACAACGUAAUUUCGAUAAUUGGUUGUUUUGUAAUAUAAUAUGUUCGGCUUAUUUGCAUUACCGUUUCUCAUGCUCCGUAUUUUGGUUCAUUUCGACCUUCGAUUUAUAGUUCAAAAAACAGGUGUAAUUAUGCUUGUACAAAAGAGUAUGAUUCAAAUUUUCUAAACAAUUAGGGGUUUGUGCACAAAAGGACUUGCAUUGCAUCAUCGGCAUGCAAUUGCAUGUGUUAAAUGCAAAUACCGACCCCCUGUGUGCAAACUGAACAAAGUUUAACAACGCUAUGCUGGUUAAUGAAUGUAUAUACCAAAGAACAACAAAGCUUAACAACGGUAUGCUGAUUAAUGCUGAUUAAUGAAUGUAUAAUAUUAAUUGUUACAUGUAAACCAAGUUCGAAAACUACAAUUGUUUUGGGUUGAACCAGUGCAUAGGGAAUUAGGUUCCCCAUUGUCGAAUGAGAAACCAUCGUCACUGUUGGGGGUAGAACCGGUUGGGUCUGCAGUAGAAAAACUAUCAGAACCAGGCAAAUUAACCACAUAGUUCCCAUGGCAUUGAGAAACCGUUUGACUAGGAUAACUGUAGCUAAUGUCCGGGAACGGCCGGAUAUCAGAAGUAUACUGAUAUCCUUCACUACCUGAUGGGAUAUUCACACCUGCAUGUCUACUUGGAUGCAAAUUUCUUUGAGAGCAAUUACGCUUUGUAUGUCCAUAUCCGUGACACAAAUGACAUUGUCGACGCUUGCGCAUUCCACCCUGCCUUGCUUGAGUGCCUUUUGUCCUAACGAUAUUUGGAUCUUUCACAAUAUUUGGAGGACAUUGCUCACCAGUACCCAAUUUCAGACUUGUCUGUUCUUCCUUUUGCCGUAAGCCUUCACAAAUUCCCUCCCAUCUACUAAACUCAUUCGUCAACAUGGCAUAACCAUCUGCACUCUUCGAUGCAUAAAAACAAACUUUGUUUGACAUAGCACUUAAAUGUCCAUACCUCGCCAUUUCUACAACUUCGUUGGUUGUGUCUUCGCCUUUGCCGAUAAAUUCCCUACAUGUAUCAGUUUGGCCAUUCUUUGUCCAUCUCUUCAUUAUGAGUGCGGGAGGAAUUUCCGUAAGGUGCUCGCACUUCAUUACAUAAAAUAGGUGGCAACACGGGAUCCCUUCACUUUCAUAUUUCCGGCAUCCACACUCUAUCCGCAUAUUUUCCCCACCGUGGUAAAUACAAGUCCAAUUAUUAUGCGGUUCAUCAUAUUUUGACAAUACGUAUACACGACCUCCAAAAUUAUGCAUCACAUUAUCAUGGGUGAGUGCUGAACAAGCUUCGAUCUCAUGACGUACCAAUACAAAACACCUAUGCGUGUAAAUCAGAGAAGCUUGUUGCUCGAGUUUUGUCAAUCCGGUUUUAAGGACCGGUGUUGAGUACUUUGCAUUGAAACCUUCCUUCGCCGUGGUAUUCCUAAGACGUAAUAUAGCCCUAUCAAUUGCUGGAAUACAUUCAAACAACUUCACGCCUUUCCUCAAGUAAUCUUUCACAUACUUGUUCAUGGACUCCACGCGUUGAGUGGUGCACAUACCACCGAAAAACUGUCCUCUCAGACAUGAUUCAGGCCAUGCGUCUCUUUUUGCAUACAUCAUUUCCAACCAUUCUUUUUGUUUCGGAGUACUCGCUCUUUCCCUCAGAACCUCCCAUUUCUUCUCAAACUCGUCCAAUGCAAAUGGUUCCCAAAUACAUGCCUGAAAAUUUCUAAGCAAUUCAUCAUCCUUCAAGUUAUUUUGUGCAUUCCUUGACACAUGCCAUGAGCACAACCGAUGGUUAGACAUGGGAAACACAUCAUCAAUAGCUUUACGCAUCGCCUCAUCGCCAUCCGUCAAUAUUGAUAUUGGCUUCUUAUCUUUCAUGGAUGCCAAGAAUGUUUCCAAUAACCACUUGUAAGUUUCAAAUGUCUCGUCCUGCAAUAAUGCGCAACCAAACAUUACAGUAGAACGGUAGUUGUUCGAACCGACAAACAACACUAGGGGCUUGUCAUAAACAUUUGUUUUGUACGUGCUGUCAAAUAUGAGGACAUCGCCAUAGGCAAUGUAAUCCAAAAGUGAAGUGGAGUCCCUCCAAAACAAAUUACGAAGCCUAUUUUCCUCGUCAACACUGAACUUACAAAAGAAUUCUGGAUCCAUUGCUCCUUUCGCUUUCAAGUAAGAGAGUGCAGCUUCUGUGUCACCGUCGAGCAAAAUUUCCCUGCGUGAUGCAUCCAACUUAUUGUACAGAUCCUUUAUUUGAAAACCAACAUUUAAAUACCCACCACAUUGGUCGACCAUAUACUCAUAUGUUUGACAUGUUCUAAACAAUGCUCUUCGCAUUCCCACUGCUUGUGCUAAAUCAGAAUUUCGAACGACACGAUUACAUCGGAGAUAUGGUGAUUCAAGUGGAGUAACUAGUUGGUGAUUGUGAUGUGGUUCAAAAUUCGUAACGACGUAAACAUCACUUUUCUUCUCAUAACCCACCCAAAAAUGGGCAGAACAAUUCUCUCUUGUAAUUGGCUUCGGUGGUCAAAUCCUAUCUGAUCGAUCAUUAAACUUCUCAUUUCUCAAACCUUCUUUAGAACAACACCACCGUCUCCUGCAUACUUUCCCUUCCGAAUUUCGAACCAAUUUGUCUUUUCUCACGCUAAAUCCAAUGCCCUUUGCAUAACUCAUAUAAUAUUCUUCCGCUAAUUCUAUCGUUUUAAACUCUUUCCCCAUAACAUCUUCUUUCCUCGGUGCAAUAAUGUCAACACCAUUAUCAUCACUACUUUCACUAAGCAUAUGUUCGACCGACAUAUGCCCACUCUCUGUUGCCGGUGCCCUGUGACUUGACCUUUCACAACCACCCAAAUACCCUGAAUCACUACAACCACCCUUUGAUGUCUCUCCACCCUUGUACAUCGGAGAUAUGGUGAUUCAAGUGGAGUAACUAGUUGGUGAUUGUGAUGUGGUUCAAAAUUCGUAACGACGUAAACAUCACUUUUCUUCUCAUAACCCACCCAAAAAUGGGCAGAACAAUUCUCUCUUGUAAUUGGCUUCGGUGGUCAAAUCCUAUCUGAUCGAUCAUUAAACUUCUCAUUUCUCAAACCUUCUUUAGAACAACACCACCGUCUCCUGCAUACUUUCCCUUCCGAAUUUCGAACCAAUUUGUCUUUUCUCACGCUAAAUCCAAUGCCCUUUGCAUAACUCAUAUAAUAUUCUUCCGCUAAUUCUAUCGUUUUAAACUCUUUCCCCAUAACAUCUUCUUUCCUCGGUGCAAUAAUGUCAACACCAUUAUCAUCACUACUUUCACUAAGCAUAUGUUCGACCGACAUAUGCCCACUCUCUGUUGCCGGUGCCCUGUGACUUGACCUUUCACAACCACCCAAAUACCCUGAAUCACUACAACCACCCUUUGAUGUCUCUCCACCCCUGUCCAUCUUACCAGACCUCUCCAUGCCUGAGAAACAUAAUUUCAAACUGAAAUUACAUUAUACUUUAUGUGCUAACAUACUUUCUCUUAAAAAAAACUCAAAUGAAUAAUGUCAUGCUAUUGCACAUACUAAGGUCAAUAAUUGCACCACGUAUAACUGUUUCGCAACAAAAAACAUGCAAUUGCAUCAACUCAGUACCCAAAAUACAGAAAAUAGGGUUCUUUGAAAUCUUACUUGAUGUUUCCAUACUUUCAAAGCCUCCUCCUUUCACUUCCUUUUGCCACCACCUCAAAUUUCGUCGUUAACACCCAAGGAUCUUCAAAAUCUUUACAACCACGUUAUUAUUACAAAUCCAUUCCCCUGCAACAUUUUAAUUAUAUAUCAGACAAUGCCAACAGCCCAUACUAAAUUACUUAAAUCCCUCCAAUUUGGUGACCAUUUCAUCAUGGAGGUUGGACCCACCAUCAAUUUUGUAUCUGCAUAUCAGUUUUGGGCAACUAGAGAGAAGAGUUGAGGACCUCAAUUCUAUUACCAUUACCUUCUUACAGAUGCGUUUUGCCCAAGCAUAGACAUGAGUUGCUAAGGAUUGGAUUUGGGCAAGCACAGAGAAGAGCUCCUGGAGGCGCUACGGAUUGGAUGGGCUUCAUGUACAGUUUCCUCUGGUGCUGUGACUUCUGUAAGCCCCCCUUCACUUCAGAUGAAAGGGCUAAAGCCCGACUCUCUACUGCUCCGAAAAUUCAGUAUUCACUGAGGUAGACAGGAAAUGGGGUCUCACAGAGUCCUCUAGUUCCCUAUGUUGUGUUCGAUUUGGGAAACCAGAUGGAGCGGACUCGGCGCGUCUUCUUCUCCUCCAAACCUGCCUUUCUCUUUCCUCACAUGCCACUCACAUGCUGAAUCACAAAGGCUGAACAGGUCAUUAAGUCAUUGAAUCUCAGCCAUCCUUUUUUAACAUAGAACCUCAACCGUUGGAUAGCCGGCUGUACCGGUACAGCUGAGGCACCACAGAAUUUUCCUCGUUGGUAUACUGAAGAAAUACAGAAAACAGAAUCAAUUAUUACAAUUCACAACAAUCACAUUUAAUUCUUCAAUCCUCCCUCGCAGCUAUUUCACAAAAUCAGUGAUCACUUCAUCCCCAUUUCUUCGUCCACAAACAAACCACAUACACACACUCUUACAUUAAAAGGUGCAUUAUCUGAUCUUGGGCUGAACUUCAACUUAUCAGGUUUGCACUCAGAAGAAUAUUCUCCGUCAUUCUCGUCGGCUUUUUUCUGCUACAUCUUCAAUGGACGCCGCAAAAUUAUUAAGUCUCUUAAGGACAUGUAUCAUUUCCAAGUCGCUGAAGCAAGGCAAGCUCAUCCACCAAAAGAUGCUCACUCUGGGCUUACAGAACGACCCUGCCCUCUGCAAAAACCUCAUAAACUUUUACUUCUCUUGCCAUUUUUGUGACAGUGCAAAGCUUGUUUUCCAAUCCAUCGAAAACCCAUCCAGUAUUUCCUUGUGGAAUGGCGUCAUGACAGGUUUCACGAAGAACCACAUGUUCGUUGAAGCUCUUGAGCUCUUUGAAAGUUUGCUGCGUUACCCUUAUAUUGGUCCUGAUAGUUACACUUAUCCAAGUGUUCUUAAGGCCUGUGGUGCAUUGGGUCAAGUUGGUUUUGGGAAAAUGAUCCAUAACCAUUUGAUAAAGACUGGUUUCGUAUCAGAUAUUGUGGUUGCCAGCUCUCUUGUGUGCAUGUAUGCUAAAUGCAACGUGUUUGACUGUGCUAUACGGCUAUUUGACGAAAUGCCUGAGAGAGAUGUGGCAUGUUGGAAUACUGUAAUUUCUUGUUAUUAUCAAGAUGGGCAAGCUCAAAAGGCAAUGGAAUUGUUUGAAAAGAUGAGGAACUCUGGCUUUACUCCUAAUUCAGUAACGCUGACAACUGUUAUUUCAUCAUGUGCAAGACUUUUUGAUUUGGAGAGAGGUAUGAAGAUUCACAAGGAGUUGAUAAAAGAUCAGUUGGUUUUGGAUUCUUUUGUUACUUCAGCUCUUGUGGACAUGUAUGGAAAAUGUGGAUGUUUAGAUAUGGCUAAAGAGGUUUUUGAGCAAAUCCCAAUAAAGAAUGUGGUUGCUUGGAAUUCUAUGAUCGCAGCAUACAGUGUAACUGGCGACAGUAUAUCUUGUAUCCAAUUUUUUAGAAGGAUGAAUCGUGAAGGAACGAGUCCCACUUUAACUACUUUUAGCAGCAUAUUGUUGGCCUGUUCAAGGUCAGCCCAACUGCUUCACGGAAAAUUUAUACAUGCAUUCAUGAUAAGAAACAUUAUAGAGGCUGAUAUCUACAUUUACAGCUCACUUAUUGAUCUCUAUUUCGUGUCUGGAAGUGUGUCAUCAGCUAAAAAUGUCUUUGAAAAGAUGCCUAAGACAAAUACAGUUUCCUGGAAUGUUAUGAUUUCUGGAUAUGUGAAAGUGGGUGAUUAUUUUGGGGCUCUGGCCAUAUAUGAUGACAUGAAAGAAGCUGGUGUAAGGCCAAAUGCCAUCACAGUAACUAGUAUCUUAUCGGCUUGUUCACAACUAGCAGCACUGGAAAAGGGUAAGGAGAUUCACAGAACUGUAAUUGAUAGUGAGUUUGAAACCAAUGAAAUAAUGAUGGGGGCUCUUCUUGACAUGUAUGCUAAAUGUGGUGCGGUGGAUGAAGCACUUAAUGUUUUUAAUAGAUUACCAAAUAGAGAUCCUGUUUCAUGGACCUCCAUGAUCACUGCUUAUGGAUCUCAUGGUCAAGCUUUAGAAGCUUUGAAGCUUUUUGGUGAAAUGCAGCAAUCCAAUGCAAAACCUGAUGGAGUUACUCUUCUUGCAGUUCUAUCUGCUUGUAGCCAUGUGGGGCUAGUUGAUGAAGGUUGUCACUUUUUCAAUCAAAUGAUCACCAACUAUGGAAUUAAACCUAGAAUAGAACAUUACUCUUGCUUGAUAGAUCUUCUUGGACGUGCUGGAAGAUUGAAUGAAGCUUACGAAAUUCUCCAAAGAACUUCAGAAAUUAGGGAGGAUGUUGACUUGUUAAGCACACUAUUUUCCGCAUGUCGUUUGCACAGAAAUCUAGAUUUGGGUGUGAAAAUUGCAAGAUUGCUAAUUGAGAAGAAUCCCGAUGAUCAUUCAACUUAUAUCAUGUUAUCAAAUACUUAUGCUUCUGUCAAAAAAUGGGAUGAGGUAAAGAAGGUGAGAUUGAAGAUGAAAGAAUUGGGAUUAAGGAAAAAUCCGGGGUGUAGCUGGAUUGAGAUUAACAAGAAGAUCCACCCCUUCUUUGUCGGAGACAAGUCCCACCCACAAUCAGAAAUGGUAUGUGAAUGUCUCACAUUUCUUGCCAGUCACAUGGAGAGAGAUGAGCUGCUUUCAAACUGAGCAGCAGGCAUGGGUUAUACUAUAUAGAAGCAUUUACUUGUAUACUUCACUCACUGGAGAACAAACGGAUGUGGUCAGAAUCCCUCGUAUAGGAUCCGUAGAACUUUGUGUUCCUUCAGAGGGCAAGGAGAUAUGAUAUGGAACUUUGGUUCUUUGAUUUAUAGCAGAUUUGGUUAUGGGCUAAUUCAAAGGUGGAGGUGACUUCUUUGCUAAUGGCAGCAGUGCUGAAACAAGGAUGUUAUCCUUGGGGCUUAAGAUGAAAGGCCAACCACUGUUUUCAAGUAUAAUCGGCACCUUGAUGCAGAUAUGAUAGAGGAAAAUAUAACACAUCUUCUCCCGCUCUAAUAGAAGUUGGAAUCAUCCGAGUACUGGACUGAAGGGAGAAAAGAAAUUCACUCCUUUCUGGAAUGCUGUGCAAGUUUUGUUAUGUUAAAUUCUUUGUAGGGCUGCACAUAUCGAAGGAUUCCAUGUAAAUUUUUAACAAUGCGUUACGUUAUUUGAAGAAUAAAGUGUUUUGAUUAUGCAACGGUUUCAAACAAAGAAUUCUUGAAUGAUUAGAAUCCGUUGUCGUCCAGCAGUUAGGAUUACUGGCUUUCACCCAGAAGACCCAAGUUCGAUCUCAACAACGAAGCUGUUUAUUUCUUUCUUCAAUUAAUACGGUUUGUUUUUAUUGUUCAUUCUUAUUUUAAGUUUUCUCAAGAACUUAUUCAUUUCUUAGGGUUAUCAAGCUACAUUGGAGUCCUCCUCUCUCCUAGAGUUAAACUCAGCAUUGUUUCUAAAAAUGCUCUAGUCUCUGUGAACUGUAUUUUUAUUUUAUAUAUAUAUAUAUGUGACAUUGGAGAAGGGAGGAAUCGAACUUAAAACUACGGGUGUAAGGAUAAAUAUUCGUAACUAACUACGGGUGUAAGGAUAAAUUUUCUUAACUACUUGAGCUCUAAGCCAUUCUCUUCGAAUUGAAUUCUAGACGAUGACGAAAUGGACAUGUAUGCAGCGUUUAAUAACGAGGGCUUAGACCUGCCAAUUUAACAACGCAAAAGAAGAGUUCCUAUCUUCCAAAAACAAUAGAAUUUAUAUACAUAAUGUUGGAAGUAAUGAACAGAAAUCCGUUGUCGUCCAGCGGUUAGGAUAUCUGGCUUUCACCCAGGAGACCCGGGUUCGAUUCCCGGCAACGGAAUUUUUGAACUUUUUUUUUUUUGCUUUUUUGGUUCGAUUUCAUUUUCAAUUUCCAAAUUUUCUCAUAAAUUAAAUUAAAAUUUUUUGGGUCAAAAAAUAAAUAAAAUAAGGUUUGCAGUUAAAGUGUUUUAGAUUUAUCCAAAUACAGCAGAUACGACGCCAAGUCCAAGUUAAGGAAGGUCUGCUGCGUGCUGCGUGUGUGCUGGCCAAGCAACUUGAGCCCCACUCCCCGUCCUCCCUCCUCUCCUCUCCUCCAAAUCAACCAUAAAUAAAACCCUAAACCCACUUUCUCUCUCCAUAUCACCAUCAUUCUUCAGUCAAAAGAAGCUUAAACGCAUUCUCAAAAGGCUUGAGACACAGACAGAUAUGGCUAAGGAAAAUAGCUGCUUGACACGCGUGGCAACCGGAGCUGCAAUCGGUGGAGCCAUCGGUGGUGCCGUCGGUAAUUCUCUAAAAUCCCUUUUCAAAUUUUAUUCGAAACCCUUGCUUUUGUUCUAGCGUUAGGGUUUAGGAACAUGUACUGUUUCCUAAUUUUUGUGUUUUUUUCUUUCUGUUUUGAUCUGUUGCAUAUCUUGGUUUGUGGAAUCGUGCUUUUUCUCUUUUACAAGUUUCUUUUUUGUUCAUCUGGGCACUUGGGAUUUUAUUUUUAAGAAUGUUUUUGGAACGUGUAAAUGCUUGUUCUUAUGUUUGUUUUGAUGUGCCUGGGGAAAUUAAAGCGAUUUAGAAGCAUUCUAGUUUUUAUUGUAAAUUGGUGUUUUUUCUGACCCUUGUUUUUGGGGGGUUUUCAGUCACUAGGUAAAGUUGUACUCUUAAAAUAUGCGCACAUUCUUGUUGUAUAGAUAUAGCUCAGUCUAUUUUGUUAUGUUCCCGUGUCGUCGUGAUACAUAUGUAUAUGGUAGGUGGGCUCUUGUUAAAGCACUUUGUUGUUGUAAUGUUUUAUGUUGAGCUUGAUACUUAAUUAGAAGAUGAUAUUUUCUGGCCACGAUUAUUUUUGCCUCUACUAAAAUUCCUAGAGCUUUUCUGGCCAUGAUUCCAUGAAAACUAGGAUGGAAAUCACUUAAGAUAAAUUAGUUAGCUAGCUCGAGAAAAAAGGGGUUAACAUAUGUUUGUUUUUUCUUGUAUCACUAGUUCAUGAUUUGAAAGUCUAACCCUUGUCAUUUGCAUAAUGUUAUACAGUCAUAUUUUUAUGUGUAUGUACAGGUUCGGUGUAUGGGACAUAUGAGGCUAUAAGGUUUAAGGUACAUUCUCGGAUUUCAUGCUGAACUUCCACUCAAGAGCUUGUAGUCAUUAUCAUCUUUUGUCUUUUUUAUUUAUAUAUAAGAAGACCUAGAUGAAGGAUUUAUGUUCUUUUUCUUAAGGUCUCAAAAUUAUUUUUGUUUUUUAGUUUGGUUCAAACAAAUUGGAUUCCUUGGUUGAUCAAUGUAAAUUAUUUAAGCUAGAGUCCAUUUGGCAUAGCUGCCACAAGUACACCUUUGCAAAGAGUCUCUUUUGGAAGAAUAAAUUUUUUUUAUGCUUCUCCAAUAUUCUGCAUCUUUUUCUUUGGCGAAAACAUAAAAAUCUUUAAGAGAACAGUCAAAUAACAGAAAAAAGUUAUCUAAAGUGCUUUCUCUGAAAUGGUUUUAAUGGUGCUCCAGAAGGUCUGCCGAAGUGACCUUAGAACGAUUGUUCUCUCCAAUAUAAUGGAGUUUAGUUAGAAAAAGUUUAUUAAUCCUUGAAGUAUUUGUUAAAUGUCUUCACAAGGUUUGGAAAUUUCAUGGUUUUGAUUCUUCAAAAAAUAUUCUGUCAAUAGUAUCAGAAAACUUUUUCUUAAAAAAAAAAAAAAAAAAAAAUGUAUAAGAAAACUUUAACCCAAAGGGGUAGCUUAAUUGGUAAAGUGUUGUAUCUCUGGAAACAAAGGUGCUCUGUUUGACUCUCUUCAACCCCUUGGGGCCAACUUCCCUACUGAUGCAGCAGGAAUAGCUUGGUUAGAAAAGAACUAUCCUAGGCCUCAGUUUGAAAGGGUAUGUAUCUUUUCUAACUAAGCUGUUACUGCUGGAUCAACUGUAGUUGUAGUUCUCAUAGCUCUAUAAUGAUUGAGCUUAUUGUACUAUAUAUGCUUGGCCAAAUGAGAAAUUAGACAUAAAAAUCUUCUGGCUGAUGCAGAUGCCAGGGCUUCUGAAGAUCAGACACGUUGGACAAACAACGCUUUCAAGUGCAGCUCUGUUCGGUCUUUUCUUAGGUGCUGGGAGCUUGAUUCAUUGUGGAAGGAAUUAAGCUCUUUCCUGUAUUAAGAUGAACUGAUUUUGUUCUGUUUACGAAGUUCUGCUUUUGAGCAUGAAGUUAGAUUCUACAGAGAUGGUGUGUUGUAGUGAUUAGUCGUUUCUUCAAAGUCAAUAUUUAUGUUUUGUGGUUUAUGCCUUUAAUGUUAUUUUGGAAUUUUGACUGUAGCUUAUCUUUUCUUCCAGUUGCUGCACACCAUGAUAUGAUCGUUUACUUCACAUAUUCUGUCUCUCAGCAAUUAUUAUCUUUUUAUUUUAUUUUUAAGGUGAUGCCAGUAAUUCAAUUGAUGAUUUCUUCUCCUGUUCUCACCUUGGGAUGCACAUAAUUGUAUUUUCUUGUCCAUCACUUUGUAGGUUAGCUAGCUCAUUGUAUAAGAUUCUUGACAUCUCAUUAGUCCUUUCUUUGUGAAAAAAGAAAGAAAAAGGAUGAGUCACUUUUGGGUUAGCUGAUUGUAGAAGUCUAGUGUAUCUCGUUAGUACUUCCUUCUAGAUUCACAAGCCAUGAAUAUUUAGAGCAACUUGUACUCUACCAGUGAGACCCAAAAAGUUGUUCUACACGGUAGCAGCUUCAGUGUCUCUUUUAUAGCUUAAAAUUUGGUUCCAGGGGCGUCUUGUAUUAGAAGUUGUCACUUCCUUGUAACCACAACUUUAAUUAAGGGUUUAUUAUCACAAAACGUCCUUAAGGUUUACAAAACUAUCAAAUUGCAUUUUUAAUGUUUUUUUUUUUUUGUCAUUCGUGGUCCUCAAGAUUAGUAUGUGUGAUCACAAAUGGUUCCUGCCGUUAGGUUCCGUUAAAAACUCUGUUAGUUUGCUGACAUGACAUAUACAUAUAUUACAAAACAUUCGUGAGGUUCACACAUCUUUCACAAAUAGUCCCUACAAAUUUUUUUAAUUUUGUUUCACUUAAAAUUCAUAAAAUUUUGGUUUUCAUUUUAAAAUUAUUUAUAAAUGAAAAAACCAUUUAUAGAAAGAUUUUAAUCUUGAUGACCAUUUAUGAACCCAAAACCCUUAGUUUUUUCAUUUUUAUAUUUUAUAAAUUUUAAAUUAUUUUUUAAAAACUCAAUUAGUUUGUUGAUGUGGCAUAUAUAUGGAGCCAAUAUCUACAAUAAUAUAGUGUUACAUUUAUUUAAAAUAUAUAGUCCUGAUCUCUUGGACUAUAAGGGUCCAAGAGAUUUGUGGUCACUCAUCAUUGGAUGUAAAUUCAACGGUUCACUCACUCUUGCACUCCUUUUAAAAAACUUUUUUGAACCAUUGGAUUAAUAUCCAACGGUGGGUGACCACAAUCUCUUGGAUUCCUGUGGUUCAAGAGAUCGGGAUUGUUAAAAUAUAAUAUAUAUUUUUAAAUAAUUUAAAAUUCAUAAAAUUUUAAAAAGAAAACCAAAAUUUUAUGAAUUUUAAAUUAAAAAAUUAAAAAAUUUCAUAGGCACCAUUUGUGAUAGGUGCGUAAACCUCAAGGAUGUUUUGUGAUAUAUGUAUAUGCCACGUCAGGAAACUAACGGAGUUUUUGACGGAACCUAACGACAAGGACCAUUUGUGAUCACACAUACUAAUCUUGAGGAUCAUGAAUGACAAAAAAAAAAAAACAUUAAGGAUGCAAUCUGAUAUUUUCGUAAAUCUUAGGGACGUUUUGUGAUAAUAAGCCUUAUUUAAGUUUGUAUUGCAAUAUCAAUGAGCAAGUUUUAUCAUUGAUGUUUGCUGUAUGUUAUAUUGGUAUGCAUCUUGCCAAGUUUAAACAUGUUAAUUAAUUACAAAUCAUUCUUCAGAUACAUGCCUCAAUAUGAACAUUAUAAGAAGUUAAUAGAAAAUUAAAGGCCAAAAGUUACUUUUGGUCCCUAUAGUUUAGCACUUCAAUCACAUUUGACUAUGUAGUUUUAAUUCUGUUAAUUUCAUCAUUGUAGUUUUGUAUUUGUAGCAAUUCAAGAACAAGUUAAUAUUCUUGUCAAUUUCUUUGACGGUGCAAAGGGCAAUUUCGUCAACCCAAAUACCCAAUUUCAUAUUAGGGCUCAAAAUUCAACCACUAAUCCCAAUUUUUGAAGAACCCUAUACUCAAAUGGCCAAUUUCAAGCCUUAAUAUGAAAUAAGGAGAGUUUACUACGAGCUUUUACAUUCAAGGGUUUUAGGUUGACCAAAUUGUCCCUUGCACUGUCAAAGAAUUUGACAUGAAUAUUAACUUCUUGCCCUUGACUUACUACAAAUAUGAAACUACAUGGUCAAAAUUGACGGAAUUUAAACUACAGGGUCAAAAGUGGUUAAAGUGCCAAACUACAAGAACCAAAAGUGACUUUUAGGGCACUGGACUAAAAGGUCACUAUUGUAUUAAUUUUUCAUUUCACCCAAAAGUCUACCUGGACUUCAUCCGACCAUAACUUAUAUAGUAGUUUCGACCUUGUGUUGCACAUUAUAUGCGAUAUAAUCCCACAAUGCUAUUAAAGUUGGGGCUCAGAUCAGGUGAGAAUGGUAAAAUGAGAACAUUAUAUAAGAAUUAAUCCUAGCCAUGCAAAGCCAUCUGAACGACUGAGGAGAAAAAGCAAGCUUACAAUACAAACGGGUACACUGCACUUUCCCCUUAGCUAACGUGUUCUGCCGUGCUUUUUCCAAUCCUGCCCAAUACCCCUACCUUUGAAUUCAUUUUUUUAAGACUCCCUCUUAUUCAUCUCAAAAAGAUUAUCCUCUCUCAAUACAAUCCCCUGUUUUCUUUGGUCAAAAUCGAUAUGGUUCUCUCGAAUUCCUUCUCUCUCUUUGAUAUUAAGGUUUGCAUUUACUUAAUGUUUAAUUUUUUUUUAAGGAUUUUAGGGCUUUGAUUUUGUAGGUUUAGGAUUUUAAGGCUUUGCUUUUUUGGGUAAGACUACUCUUUCUCGGUUCUAGUUGGGUUUCCAAAAAUAUAAAUUGGCUUCAGUUGCUUUGUGACAACCCGAUCCUAAAUUAAUAGUUAAAUAUUAAAUUAUUCAAGGAAAAGACAAUUUUACCCCGGGAAUAUUGAAAUGAUUUAAGAGUUGACUUUUUAUUCGGGGAGGUUAAAUGAUUAAAAUAAGAGGAAGUAAAUUUACAUGAGAAAAUAAAGUGAAAUAAACAAUAAAAUAAAAUGAUUUGAAUUAAUUUAGGCUUUUGAAAAUUAAAGAUAUUAUUUAAUAUAAAAAGGGGCAAAAAUGUCAUUUUAAGUUUGGGAAGAAAUUUGGAAACUUCGAUUGUACCGUUGUGUAGAGCACAGCGAGAUGAGUCCGUAGACACAUAGUGGGCUCAGAUCCGAGUUGUAACGAGAGAGAUACGAUCAAAAUUCAAGUACGGGCAAAAUCGUAAUUGUGCCAAACUGGUUUUUAAAACCAAAAUCUCUCUCUCUCCUCUCCCCCCCCCCCCCCUAAAAACAGCACCUUUAGUUUUCUGCCCGCCAUCUCCUCCACCGGUCACCAAAUUUAAUGAUUUUGGUACCAAAACGUCAAGCUCACUUCCCUCUUCCCGUCCCGACCAACCUCAGUCGCUGGAACCACCGGUGCUGGCCGGAAAAUGCAAAAAUCCAAACUGUUUUUGACAGAUUUUCUCAAGCUUCGUUCGAACGAUUUCGGGCACCAAAUCUUGGGAUCCAGGUAUGCUUUUCCAUCUAUUCUUCGAGUUCUAGCUGAUUGUUGGGUAGGAUUUGAUUGAUUUGUAUCAUAGAUAACCCGAAAUACGAAUUGAAAUUUGGCCAGUUUUCAAAUUGAGAUUCCGGCCACUUCCGGUCAUUUUUCGAGGUAGGUCCAAUAACAAAAGUGGUUCCAAAUAGGGUGUUAUACCUAGGAUAGGAGUUUGGGUUGGCGGUUUGGAGUAUUUCCGGCUGCCGAAAAUUGGUCAAGCCACCCAUGCUCUCCCAGCGCGUGUGGCGGCGCGUGGGCUGCAUAGUGAGGUCACUCUCAGUCCUAGAAUGAUCCUCGUGCUGUCACGAGCACGUAGGAAUUCGCAUAUCUCAAUUUGGAUAACGUUUGAGCCCCGAUCGAAUUUCGCAUAUUGUGCGAUUUCCGGGUUUCAUAUAUUUAAACCGUUGGAUCGUAGUUAUUCUCGUAUAUGUCAAUCUAGACAAUUUCCGGAUCGUGUAGGAUUCAACGGAUCGGGAAUCGGAGUCCAGGAUACUCCGAAAAGGCCAACCAUAGGGCUAGGUUUACAAUAACCGUCCGAUCGUGCGAUCGUGAGUAGUUCGACCAUCCGAUCGAGACCAAACUCUCGGGACAUGUGUCCUAGGCAUGUUAAGACCUCUAGGAACUCUCGGAUUGGAAUCUUGAGGUCGUGGACCUCACGGGGUCCCAGGUUGACUUUUUGGGACUUAUCGCUUUUUGAGUCCCGAGGCACCUCUAGACCGUUCUAAUCAUUGGAAAUGCUUACAUAGACUUGAGAAUGACUUCAAAUACAAUGCACGCACUUCUAGGAGCCCAGGUCCAGGACUUUGGAUUAAAUAAUGAGGAUGAGCUCCACAGGAUAUGGUUGAGCUUUUAGAAAGCUCAUGUGCAUGCGAGUGUUCACUUGGUUUAGUUGUAGUUCUAAUUUCAAAUUUUAUGUGAUUUCGAGAUGAGUAUUUAAUUACCUGUUUAUUUAUCACUUGUUUAUAUAUGUUCAUAUGGUUAAUUGUGUGGUAAGAGUAUAAAUAAAAUAUUGGUACGCUAAGCAGAGAUCGAGAUAGUUAACAAACUAGCCAAGUAUUUAGUAUAUAUAUAUAUAUAUUCAGUAGUUGAAAAGGAUGAAUCUUAGCUUUUGGCUUUUAUCAUAUUGUGGUAUAUAUAUAUGUAUAUGUAUAUAUUUUAAGUUUAGUUGAGAACCAAUUUAUUAAAAGUUUAUAUAAAUGACGAGUUACGGUUUUCAAACCCACCGCGAGGGUACUCCCCAGUUGCCUUGAGACAGUUUGUUAUUUUGAUGAUGCCCCACAAGUUUCGGGGACGCCUGAACCAUGUGGUGAGAGGAUUGUGGCUCAGAUUGAAGUGUUAUCUCUGAGACCUGCAAGAAAUGUGGCUCGAAUGGACUUGGUGUCUCUGGGACCUACGAGGAUUGCGACUCAGAUUGAAGUGUUAUCUCUGAGACCUGCGAGGAAUGCGGCUCGGUUAACUUUAUGGUUUCGAGACCUGCGAGAAUGGAAUUGACGGACUAACAUUGGAAUUGACGGAUAUAUGGAAUUUAUGGCAUAUAUGGAAUUGACGGUAUUAAAGGAAUUGACGGAUCAGAAAUGGGGGUACGCCUAGGUGGAGAGAAUUUAAGUCCUGAGAUGCUUUUAAAUUAAAUUGAGAAUUUUAUACGGCUACCAUUAUUUUCUUAAGCGUCACAUUUGUUUUACAAGUGUUAGAUGGAAAUAUGCAUAUAGAUUCUAAUUAAGUUGUUGAUAUAUAUAUAUAUUUAUGAACCUUACGGGAGUUUCAAUACAAGGAUACAAGGGU